AAAUUGAAGAGUUUGAUCAUGGCUCAGAUUGAACGCUGGCGGCAGGCCUAACACAUGCAAGUCGAACGGUAACAGGAAGAAGCUUGCUUCUUUGCUGACGAGUGGCGGACGGGUGAGUAAUGUCUGGGAAACUGCCUGAUGGAGGGGGAUAACUACUGGAAACGGUAGCUAAUACCGCAUAACGUCGCAAGACCAAAGAGGGGGACCUUCGGGCCUC
rnacentral:rRNA from 1 species